AGCGAACGCUGGCGGCAGGCCUAACACAUGCAAGUCGAACGGACCCUUCGGAGCUAGUGGCGGACGGGUGAGUAACACGUGGGAACGUGCCUUUAGGUUCGGAAUAAGCCCGGGAAACUGGGUCUAAUACCGGAUGUGCCCUUCGGGGGAAAGAUUUAUCGCCUUUAGAGCGGCCCGCGUCUGAUUAGCUAGUUGGUGGUGUAAUGGACCACCAAGGCGACGAUCAGUAGCUGGUCUGAGAGGAUGAUCAGCCACAUUGGGACUGAGACACGGCCCAAACUCCUACGGGAGGCAGCAGUGGGGAAUCUUGCGCAAUGGGCGAAAGCCUGACGCAGCCAUGCCGCGUGAAUGAUGAAGGUCUUAGGAUUGUAAAAUUCUUUCACCGGGGACGAUAAUGACGGUACCCGGAGAAGAAGCCCCGGCUAACUUCGUGCCAGCAGCCGCCGUAAGAC
rnacentral:rRNA from 1 species